UACGUAGGUGGCGAGCGUUGUCCGGAUUUACUGGGUGUAAAGGGCGUGUAGCCGGGUUGGCAAGUCAGAUGUGAAAUGCAUAGGCUUAACCUAUGGACUGCAUUUGAAACUGUUGAUCUUGAGUAUCGGAGAGGCAAUUGGAAUUCCUAGUGUAGCGGUGAAAUGCAUAGAUAUUAGGAGGAACACCAGUGGCGAAGGCGGAUUGCUGGACGACAACUGACGGUGAGGCGCGAAAGUGUGGGGAG
rnacentral:rRNA from 1 species